rnacentral:rRNA from 1 species
AGAGUUUGAUCCUGGCUCAGAACGAACGUUGGCGGCAUGGAUUAGGCAUGCAAGUCGCGCGAAUCCCCGCAAGGGGGGAAGCGGCGUAAGGGGCAGUAAGGCGUGGGUAACCUACCCCCCGGUCCGGCAUAGCCCGUCGAGAGACGGGGUAAUUCCGGGCGACACCCCCUCCCGGCAUCGGGGGGGGGUCACAGGUCCGCCGCCGGGGGCGGGGCCCACGUGGUAUUAGCUAGUUGGUGGGGUGACGGCCCACCAAGGCGGAGAUGCCUAGCGGGUGUGAGAGCACGACCCGCGCCACUGGCACUGAGACAAUGGCCAGACACCUACGGGUGGCUGCAGUCGAGGAUCUGCGGCAAGGGGGGCAACCCUGACCGAGCGAGGCCGCGUGCGGGACGAAGGCCAUCGGGUUGUAAACCGCUGUCGAGGGGGAGGAAGGCGUAAGCUUGAACCAUCCCUGGAGGAAGCUCGGGCUAAGUUCGUGCCAGCCGCCGCGGUAAUAC